GACGAACGCUGGCGGCGUGCCUAAUACAUGCAAGUCGAACGCAGUGGGGACGGGUGAGUAACACGUGGGUAACCUCCCAUCAGAGGGGAUAACACUUGGAAACAGGUGCUAAACCGAUACUGAUGGAUGGACCCGCGGUGCAUUAGCUAGUUGGUGAGGUAACGGCUCACCAAGGCCACGAUGCAUAGCCGACCUGAGAGGGUGAUCGGCCACACUGGGACUGAGACACGGCCCAGACUCCUACGGGAGGCAGCAGUAGGGAAUCUUCGGCAAUGGACGAAAGUCUGACCGAGCAACGCCGCGUGAGUGAAGAAGGUUUUCGGAUUGUAAAACUCUGUUGUUAGAGAAGCGGUAUCUAACCAGAAAGCCACGGCUAACUACGUGCCAGCAGCCGCGGUAAUAC
rnacentral:rRNA from 1 species